rnacentral:rRNA from 1 species
UACGGGGGGGGCAAGCGUUGUUCGGAAUUACUGGGCGUAAAGGGCUCGUAGGCGGCCAACUAAGUCGGACGUGAAAUCCCCAGGCUCAACCUGGGAACUGCGUCUGAUACUGGAUGGCUUGAGAUUGGGAGAGGGAUGCGGAAUUCCAGGUGUAGCGGUGAAAUGCGUAGAUAUCAGGAGGAACACCUGCGGUGUAGACGGCUUACUGGACCAUAACUGACGCUGAGGCACGAAAGCGUGGGGAGCAAACAGG